CAGCUGACGAAGGCGCCGUCGCCGUUGCCCAGAGGGAAGGCGGGCUGCAGAGCCACGGGCCGGGCGUCGGAGCGGCAGAACUUGGGUGCCAAGCUGAGCACGUCGCCGCCGACCCCGCCGCUGCUGCUGCAUGACACGUACUCCACAAGUUAGCCAAAGCAGCCCAGGGCCGCCGCCCAGCGCCCCCGAGCCCCGAGGAGAGCCGUCGCGACCGGGGGCUGCCUGGGCAAGGGCGGGGCGAGAGGGCAGAACGCCUGCUCUCGGACAAAAUGGGAGCGUGACGCGCGGCCGGUGGAGACUGCUCUUCGCCCACCUCCAGGACAGAUAAAGUUAUUCCUCUUCCCCUCUUCUGAGUCCUCUGCGCUUUCGGUUUGCUUGGCGCUGAUGUUAUCCCUCUUCUAAACCUAGAGCAGAUGUUUGGUUUUUUCCUUUCUUCCCCCUUUCCUAGGACUCAUGGAACUACAUCUUAUGCGGGUGUUCUUAAAAUACACCGGAAAGAACGGAGGUAAAAAUACUGGAGUGUUUCCUCCACACUGGAAAGAUGUGCCGCGCGCCCGCCAGACCGCCCAGGAGGCGGCGGCUAUUGUUCCCCGCAGGGGCCCGGGGCGCCCUGAAACGGGGUCCACGUCAGCCCGCUCCCGAGCGUGUCCUCAGGUCUAAGGACGGGUGGGGCUUCCUUUGUGUGUUCUCUGGAAGGGGCUGGGAUGGCGUCGUUGCUGCCCCAAGGGGUAACCGAGGGGGAUUGAGGGAAGAUGGUACCAGCUCCCUAGAGCUCAGCUCACCAGACCUACUCUUCCGCUCGACCCUUGCAGAGGAGGUGGGGACGGAUAUGGUAUUUGUAGGGCAGCGCUGUGAACAAUGGAGCCAUCAAAAAGGCCUUCUCCCAGCCUCCUCACCAACCACGGACAUUCCUGGCCCAACAAGACCUCCUGGCCAGGUUUUGAGCCCUGCUUCCCAGCUAUAGGAACCAAUCAGGACAUUUUGCCCAAGAUCUAGGACAGAAAGACUCAUGCAGUAACUCCUGCCUUACAGAUCUGGGGACCCUUCACCUGCCUCUACUACUGCAAAUGAUUGGAUAUUCGUCUGACUUGGCUCUUCCCUAAUGUGUGGAACUAAUUUUGUUCACUCUGUUUCAUGCUGGACCUGGCCUGAAAAUGGGCCCUUAUAUUGUCUUUGCACUUUCCAACUUGCCAAAUCUAAGAACCAGCCCUCAAAGAUGUUUCUGAAAGAAGGACCAAAGUAAUGCCAAGAACUCCCAGAUGAAGAGGACCUUCCUUAGACCUAUAACAGAUUCACUACUUGACUUCAGAGGGAAGUUUCAGCUAAUUCUCAGGAAAAGGUCAAAACAGGCCUGUGACUGUCCCUUGAAUACUGAAGGUAUAAACAAGCUUCUGGCUCCUCCAGGUCAAGCAGAGGAACACUUUUAUUAGAAUGAAGGGUUACUUCUUUGUUAUUCAAACACACACCCACACACAUCCUCUGUAGUCUCCCUAAUGAAAAACCUCAACAGAUGGAGAGCCUGAGCUCCCAAGUCCGCAGGCUGAGAAGAUGCACUUCACUCAAGGGCCAGUGGGCUGGUACAGACUAGGGAAGAGAAAAGGGACAAAGGCUGCUAGUAUAGGUAAUCACUAUCUUUUAAUACUCCUAACACAUAGAAAUUCGAAAAAUCUUGUUCAGCAAUGUUAGCAGCCUGUGAGCCUCGGAAACUAAUUUGGCUGAUGUGUCUCUGAUAGGGAGCUUGGGGCUGCACCAAGGGGAAACAUUCUCCUCCUGUAUUCUCUCCUCUCUCUCGUUUGAAAGCCUGUACAAAGAAAUGGUACAAAUGGAUGGUUAACUUAAUGAUUCCAUCAGAGGCAGAUUUUUCUCUGUCAGGUCCCUGGAUAAGGUGGAGGUCUGAAAGCCAGGAGACAGAAUAUGUACUUAAUCGCCCUUUCUGACCUGCUUACCAGUGACCAGGACUACUCUCCAGGCCUUUCUUCUGCCACUUCCCCAUUCUUCCUGGCUAGUUCAGUUGGGUCUCAGCACUUCAACUCCUGGCUGGAUCCUGAGUUUUUCUUGGUUGCAGGGAAAGCUCUCACUGUCUGCAUCUCCUUCCCCACCCCCACCUCCCGUUUUGCAGCUGGCCAUUCUGGCUGCCUCACAGCUAUCCUGCCUUAAUUCAUAUUUGAUUGCCUGGACAGAACCACCUAGAAUGUCCAGACGACUGCCACCCCUCAGCCAUGGGCCUGAGAUCCUGCCCUGACCCCUUUCUUCAGACCCCAGGAGGACCCACAAUCUCCCUGAUCCCCACCUUCCCCAAAGUAGUCUCUAGGAAAAAAGCAGAGCUGGCUAAGGCCUGAGACAGAGCCAUUUCUUCCCCUUGGGCAAACGAGGUAGACCCUCCCAGAGACCAAUGCCGGAGAGGCCCGGAUCCGAGCUCCCUUUAUAUGGCCUCCCCCAUCACGGAUCCCGUGGGAAAACCUGACACACAAUGGCGCGGCUGCUCCGGGCACCCUCAACCCAGCGCCCUGCGGCAAGGCCUGGAGCAGCCUGGUGGUCUUGGUGCGCUCCCUUUGCCCUCCCCGCAACCCUCUGCGAGCACUCGUCCCAGGAGAGAGACCCUGGCUAGGGUGGAGGUUGCCUCCCGCAAAGGGCGCUGUUGCUGGGGCCUCCCCUCCCCCAUUCUCUUGUUUUUCUGCUUCUGAGACUCGGGAGGGAGGCGGCAGGCGCCUCCGCAGCCGAUAGAGCAGCUAUUGUGACCUUCCCUUGCAGAGCGGGAACCCAGCCGAGUGUGUACCGCCGGCGGUGGCGGGGGAGGAGGCGACUGUGUGUGCAAACCUCAGUCGGAGAGGGGGUGGCGCUGGGAAAUAAAGGUUUGCAACCUCAGGCAGUUGGGCCCUUCAGAGGGCGUUUGGUUGUGUUUAGACUCGGUUGCUUUCUAACACUAAUUGCAGGCUCAAAAGGAGCGGAAUUUAUUGCGAAGGCCAAGGCGGCUUGUUUAUAAUUUAUGAAGUUUUAAAUGGCUGUGCCGCGGGCCCCAACUUUCUCCUGGGCUGGCAGCCGCGCGGAAACGCGCCCUCCCCCGGCUCGCCGCCCACCCCCACCCACGCCCCUCAGAUGAGUCUCACGCCAAUGGCAGGAACAGAUCCGAGCUAUUAGAAGUCUCGGGAACCUCCAGAGAUGACAGAAGGUGGCAGAUUUGGUCCAAGCCCUCACCCCACUCGAGAGGAGGGCGUCGGGGAAAGCUGUGGCUGCCUGGAGAGGGAGCCCCUGAUCCCACACUUCCUUGGAGCCUGAGUGUGAGAGGAAGCUAAUGUCAGCCGGGCUAGACACCGUUUAAAGUCUAAUCCAUGAAACCCUAAGCCGCAAAUGACACUUGGGGCUUUGCAGACACCCGCAGACUCAGCAGAUACUCCUGCGGUAACACACUGUGCUGGAAAACGCCUGGAGCCAUGACACAUUACGUAUUUUUAUUAUUAUUUAUGGUAGGAAGAGGAGAUGAGGGAAAAUCGGGCUGAAUCUAAGCAGCCUGACAAUUCAGCUAGUUAAUAUUUAGCCAGUUAAGAAAGGUGGUUGUAAUCCCUGCAAGGCAGUGAGCUCUCCUUUGAUUUCUCUAAUAGCUUAAAAAAUAAUUUCUUACAAGACAAUUAGAAAUUCUGCCUAUGGAUGCAAAUUUCAUAGAAAACAAUGUUAAGCCUUGAAAGUGGGUAAAAUGUGCCUUCGAUUGAAGUCAUUUAUUCUGUUGAUACACUUCUACAACAUAUAUAUUUUAAACCUGCUCAGAUAAAGUGAAAUUUAGCAAAAGGAUAUCCCCUCCCACCCCCAAAUCUAACAUGCCAUUUUAAAAACAGCACAAAGGAACAAGGAAACUAAAUAUUAUUUUGAGCCAUCAUUACUUAGUGAAAUACAAACAUCCAAAUAGAAACGAUUGUUGUUCCACCAGAAGAUUAGAAGUUAAAUUAUUUCCACACAAUAGGAAUUUCACUUCGUGUCAUCGGGGAUGUAGUAGGAGUUGCAUUAUUUGUCAAACCAAAUAGAGAUGCGUGGGCUGACUUUGCUGAAAUACAAAAGAAUUGAACCUUAUCUGAAGGCGUUUUCUAAGUGGCCCCUCCCAUAGAAGCCGGGAAGUUGUCCACCCCUAGCAGAAGCCACAUUAAUAUUUACAAAAUGGUUAUAAAUCCUUGAAGACAUUUUUGCCCAUUUUGUAUAAGAAACAGGAGUAAACAAGGUGUUUAUACUUGUUAUGUUUCAUUAAUGAAAUAUUAUUACUUUACAUCUUGGGGAAUGUUUGUUUUCUUUAGAAAUGAACUAAUGAUCACUACAAAGGAAGAAUUCAUGACAGCAUUUCCUAGAGAAAAAGCUUAGGUACGCGUCUCCAAAUGAUGGUUUCUUUUUCUACACCUUAGCUUUUUCAUAGCUCAAUUCUUCUUACAACUUCUCUUGUGUUUUUUCUUUGAUUGUCAGUUUUCUUUCAAAGUUUAUUUUUUGUUACUUAAUGCAGAAAAGUGAGCUCUGGUCUCCCCAGUGUAAAAGUCGAUUGUGUCUAGAAAGAAGGCAGUAAAAACAGCAAAGCAGGCGCUGCUUUCAAAAAGCCCUGCCCAAAUCAUCCCGCCCAGAACCUUCUUAGGUUUGCAUCCUCAUUUCCCCCUCCCCUAAUUUCAAUAGCUGGAAAGUAAUCAAGUAUCCCGAGAACCAAUUUAUGCACUAGACUCCAAAUAAAUAAAAUAUUUUUUUCAAAUGCCCAUAUAAGGAAGCACUCUCUAUUAAUAGCUAUAAGACCUGUCCAGCAACAGCACCAGCAGCCUGGAAUGGAAGGGAGCACCCUGUCACUGCAAGGUCAUGACCCCAAUCAGGAACACUAAAAAAAAGAACAUUUUGAGAUACCACUGGAAAUGGGCAAAGAGAUCUAGAAUUUGAAAUG
rnacentral:lncRNA from 1 species